AUUACGGUAACCGACGUCAUGAGGUCGCUAAAUCAAAUUAAUAUCACAUAGCUAACACCACUUUUCCCCAUUUUUCAUUUCCCCCUCUUUUCAUUGCCUCGAUUUCAGCCAUCGCCGCCCAUCGCACAUUGCCCGCCGUCCGUAGCCCAGUUCCCGCCGUCGCCAUCGCCGGCGCCGUCCACCGUCCAACCGAGGGAUUCAGUUCCACUGCUUUGUUGAGUCAAUUUGCUGAUUUCGGGAUCGACUUUCCAUUCUUGAUUCCUCAAGUAGAUUAAUGUGAAAUUUCUAUGAGAUUGUUAUUCAGUUCCUAGCCAUUUAAGAUACUACACCUGGUGGCUACAAAUUAGCAUCGGUAGAUUUAGUCACGUUUAAUGUGCGAACUUAGCUUGUUUGGAUAGUGUCGUACUACUCUAUCGAACAGUUAAGAUGGAAUCUCGUAGUUGGAUGUAUACUAGAACAAAUGACGAUAGAGAGGGAUGAGGCAAGAAUUUAUGGACGGUGUCGUUGCCUUUGUUGAAUAUGCAAUGACACUUGAACCUUUUACAAUCGAAGGCUUGGUUAGGUGUCCUUGUGAGAAAUGUGCAUGUAGGAAUUAUGAGACACCAGAGACUGUUAGGCUUCAUCUCUAUACUCACGGCUUUCAAUUAAAUUAUACAGUAUGGACUAGUCAUGGAGAAACGGAUACUAGUUUGGGAGGAUUUCAAAACUUUGUUGUUGGUGAAAGUAGUAGGGCAACGGAACCUGAUGUCCAAAAUUAUAGAAUGCACGACAUGAUUCAGGAUGCUUAUGGGAUGCAUUCCGAUUUUGAAUCCGGUAACCAUGUUGAAGAAGAUCCUAAUGAGGAAGCUAGUCAUUUUUUUGAACAGUUGAAAGAUGCUAGUUGGCCUUUGUGUGACGGGAGUCCCCACUCUCAAUUGUCUAUUGCUGUUAGAUUAAUAAGUAUCAAAGAAGAUUGGAAUGUUCCUCAAGGGGCAAUGGAUGCUGUGAUUAGCCUUAUACGUGAAUUAGUUGACCCGAAUCUACAAAUACCUGUUAACUACAACAAGACAAAGAGAUUGGUGUCAAAGUUAGGACUCUCGUCCUACAGAAUUGAUUGUUGUGAAAAUGGAUGCAUGUUAUACUAUAAGGAUGACGUCGGUCUAGAAUCUUGUAAGUUUUAUGGAAAAGCUCGUUUUAAGCGAGCUCGUAGCGGGAAGAGAGUUGCUUUUAAGGCGAUGCAUUACUUACCUCUUAUACUAAGGUUAAAGAGGUUGUACAGGGUUGUUUCACGGACUCGCCAACUUGGGGCAAGAUGGAACCAGACCAGAAGAGACAGAUCUAUUUAACCUUUAAGAGAAAGUGUUUCUGGCUCCCGGAACAUGAAACUCAUGUCGCCCAAAACUUCAAGAAGAAAGCAGGGCAGCUGCUAAAGGGUGCAUUAGGAAGGGUUCGUGAAGACCAAGCGAAGCCUGAUUGGAUCCGGCCGGAGGCCUAUUACAAGCUAUUGUAGUACUGGUCAUCUGAUGAAUUUAAGAAACAAAGUGAAACAGGGAAGAAGGCCAGAAAUUCUACAAAGGGUGGCUCUCUACACACUAGUGGAGCUAAGAACCAAGCGGCCGUGAGGAAGGAGCUAGUAUUUUUCCUUUAGUUCUAUUGUAGGAUAAUAAAUUUAUUUCAUUUUCUUUAUUAAUUACUCAAUUAUUCUUUUUGCAGGAACUCAAAGAAAAGAGGAUAUUGCCUCAAGAUGAGGCAUUUAGAAUCACUCACGUGAAGAAGAAGAAAAACAGUCAAGAACCAGACAAAUGGGUUGAGGAACGGGCUAAGCAGUCCUACGUAAGUUUAAUUGAAUUUCUUUUUCUACUAUGUGUUGGUUCUGCUUGUAUUAGUGACCUUGUUCAAGAUAUCCAAGGUGAGUUCUACCAAAUUAGCUCAAAGCCAAAAGAAAAAAAGAAAAAUAACAUGAUUUCUGAUGUACCAAAUUAGUGACCUUGUUCAAGACCUUGUAUGAAUUUUGACUUGUUAUCAUCAAAAAAGUUCGAGUAAAGCGUUGUGAAGUGUUCAGCUCACAAACUUUUCAUAGAUCUUGGAGACUAGAAGCUGUGCAACUUUGGGCAGAAGCUAGAACAAUUUACUGCUGUACUAUUUCUGCUGCUGCUACUACUGUUAUUGCGACCACUUGUGUAGAGUAUUGUUAUGAUAGGAAAUGGUAUUUUGGAAUUUUAGAGAAGAGGUUAAUUUGUUAUGAUGGAGUAAAUAGAAAGCAGGCAAGACUUCCAGUUCAAAAAAAUAAUUAAAUAGAAAAUAGGCAAUACUUCUAAUUCAAAAAAUAAAUAAAUAGAAAGCAGGUAAGAGUAUAGCCUUUUGGAAAUAGAAGACAAAGCUGAACGAGAUACUUGCAUGAUGACUUCAAACUCAAACUAUUAAAGGAAUUGUAAAAGUAUUGCUUGCCAAGUUUCCAUAGAUGGACGAGUCAAAUCUAUAUGGGGAAAGGCGCAUUGAGUAGUGUUUGGUGCCUUCACUUUAUUCCCAUAAAAUCUUUUGGUGAUUUAUGAGCAACAUUCAGUUAGAAAUCUAUCCCCUUUGCUAUUUAUGUGUUAUAACUCAUUGGUUGAGUUUCCUCAGCGCCAUUCUGAUGUUCUGUAGGACUCAAGGCUGAUAUAGUUUACAAUAUGUUAAAAAACAUUCUGUUAUACAAUAUGAUAUUAAUUGCUAGUUCAA